CACAGUAAGGCUCCUGCUCCUAUGAGAAUCUAACAGAACGUCUGCUCUCUUGCUCAGUGCUCACCUCCUGCAGUGCGGCUUGGUUCUUAGCAGGCCACAGACCUGUACCAGGUCUGUGGGGUUUGGGAACCCCUGCAGAGGGAUAAAUAGUUUCAAAAGGGAGAUCUGGGGAUCUCAAACUUUAAUGUGUACAUGAGUCACAUUAAAGCAGACUGAUUCAGUAGGACCUGAGGUUUUGCAUUUCUAGCAAGAAGUUGCUGCUGCUGCUGCUGCUGGUGAUGGUGGUGGUGGUGGUGGUGGUCCCACUCUAGCGGAAGUUUUUAAUUAUAAUAAAGACCAGUGUAUCAAUUAUUUAUUUCAUGGAUCGUGCUUUCAGUGGUCAGAUUCCAGGAAAAAAAUGGCAGCUAGGAGGCAUGACUUACAGCUCCCACUGAGAUGAACAGAACAGUAUGUGGAGGCAUUAUGAGCUUUUGCUUCAAGAACUACCACAGGAAUGUACCAAGAACACUGAAAAAAUUCACAGACCCUUUGAAAAUGUGACUUGUGGCUACAAACUCUAAGACAGUUGAAAAAUGAUGUUCUUCAUCAAGUUGAAGAUGCUCCACCCCCCUUUUUUUUGGUUUGCUGAAGGCUUUUUCAUGAAUGGAUGUUGGAUUUUUAAAAAAUGCUUUUUGUGUAUUUAUUGAUAUGACCACGUGAUAUAUUUUCUUCAGCCUGUUGAUGUAAUGGAGUACAUUAAUUGAGCUUUGAAUGUUGAAUCAGCCUUGCUGCCUAGAAUAAAUCCCACUUGCUUGUAGUAUACAGUUUUUCUCAAACGUUGUUGAAUUUGAUUUGCUAAUAUUUUUGCUGAGAUUUUUUGUUCAUAAGAGAUGUUGGCCUUUAGUUUUCUUUUUUUAUAAUCUCUCCCUGGUUUUGAUACUAAGUUAAUGCUGGUCUCACAGAAUGAGUUAGGAUGUAUUCCAAUUCUGUCUUCUGGAAAAAAUUAUACAGAAUUGGUAUAAUUUGUUCCUUAAAUGUCUAGUAGACUUCACCAGUGAAAACAUCUGAGCCUAGUGCUGUUUGGGAAGGUUAUUCGUUAUUGAUUCCAUUUAUUUACUAGAUUAUUAUGUUUGUUUCUUCUUGUGUGAGUUUUGGCAACUGGCAAUUGUGUCUUUGAAGGCAUUGGUCCCUAUCACCCAGGUUUUCAAAUUUGCGGGCAUAGAUUCGCUCCUGUUAUAUUAUUAUCCAUUUAAUGCCCAUAAAAUAGGUAGUGAUACUCCCUCUUUCUAGUAUUAGUAAUUUGUGUCUUCCCUCUUUUUUCUUAGCUUGGCUAUAGGCUUACUGAUUUUAUCUAUCUUUUCAAAGAACCAGCUUUUGGUUUUGUUGAUUUUGUUCACUAAUUUCCUGUUUUCAGUUCCAUUAAUUUCUGCUAUAAUUUUCUUUUCUGCUUCCUUUGGUUUUAACUUGCUCUUCUUUGUCUGUUUUCUAGGGUAGAAGCGUAGAAGAUUGAUUUUUAGAUCUUUCUUUUCUAAUUAUUACAUUCAAUGCUAUAAAUUUUCCUCUAGGCAUUGCUUUUACUGUUUCCCACAAUUCUUGAUAAUUUUUAUUUAUUUCAAAAUAAUUUUUAACUUUCUUAAGAUUUCUUUCUUUCUC